GUGGUCUUCAUGUGAGUGCUUUAACACACCUGAACUUUACUGAUACUUUGCAGCUGAUUUCAUCAACAUUUUCUUGGAGAGUGAUGCUAAGUGGAGGCACUGCUUUGUCUGAAGCUCUGUUCCUCAAAUCAGAGGUUUAUUUUAACACAGUCUGACCAUAAAGAACUGACUUAACUACAGUUACAACAGUGACUGAGGAAGAGGAGGAACAGAGUGAGAAGCUCCGCUGUGCUGUCUCCUCCCGUCUCUCUGGAGUCACUGUCAAGGUUGCUUCUUCAGGGCCAAGUCGUGGACAAAGACAAUCCAGGUUUACAGCAGAUAUCACAGAAUGAAGUCGUCCUCACUCUUGUAGAUUUCCUUCGUCAGGACAAACAUCUGUUCAAAUGUGAAGUGACUGUUUAAGAUAAGACUGAGGUGUUCAGCUUUGAACGUGAGAACUCCAAGAGCCGAGAUUGGCACUGGGCCGCUGGAGCUGGAGUUGUGGUUCUUGUGGUUCUUGUGGUGGUCCUGAUCUUCUGGAGGAGACUCAGAGCGAAGCCUCGAGGUCCAAACACGGCCCCUCAGGUCAGAGAUACGGCCCCUCAGGUCAGAGAUACGGCCCCUCAGGUCAGAGAUACGGCCCCUCAGACUGAACCUGACGACGGAGUUUCCUACGCCACCGUCAGCUACAACAGGAAACAGGGGCUUGAGAUCAGAGAGAGUGAGGAGGAGGAGGCCGUGACCUACAGCUCAGUGAGAAUCAACGCGUCUGGAGAAAGUCUCUACGCCACCGUCAACAAACCCAAACCUGCCAACUAAACCUGUUGACUUAAACAAACUAAUAAAAAACAACUAACUAAUCAACAAAACCAGCCAAGACCCCAGCUAACAAGUCAAUGUGAAAUUAAACCAAGUGAGUCAUCUCUCUCCAAACCGCAGUCAACACCCAACAAAACUGAAACUAACCAACAAAAGCAACAGGACAGAAAUAAUGUUGGUUACGAAACCACAGAACAUCCGUCGACACACCUGUGAAACCGAAACUAACCAACCCACAACAGAACUAACCCGAGAGGUCACGAGUCAGUUCACCCGUGACCUGGUGACCUGAUGGCUCGGUUUAGUGGUCGUUUCUUUUGGAUAUCAUGAGUCGGGAAACAAGUAUUUUAAAAAUUGUAUUAUGUAUUUAUUUAUUGUUUGUUUUGGAAAGAAUUUUUGCGAGAUUAAUAAAUAUUAUGCAAAAUCCUU